GAGCUGCCCUUAUGUGUCAGUCUGGCCCGAAAAGAGCAGGUGGAUCCUGGGAGACGUCACAGCGCAGCGCCAGGGGCAGCUGUGUGCCAGGCACAGUGCAGCCCUCGCCGCACACAGCCACUGACCUGCAGGAGUAGUGACACUCGCCUUUCUUCCUCUCAUCCAGACGGCCCUCACCUUGGUCAGCAUCUGGGACACAGACGAGAUGCUAGGUGUGGAACAGGAGCGUGUUCUGGGACAGGACUGUGAUCUGGAUGAAGUGAGGUGACUCAGGCCAAGCUGUUCAGCAUCUCCAGGUGCGGCUGCCUGACUGUAGCAUGGAGACAGUAACAUGACCUGUUACAGACUGUCGGGGGCAUUACGUGAGCCAAUACUUGAAAAUGCUGAGAAUAACCAGCACAGCAAGCAACUAAAACAGGCAGGGUCUUGCUGUGUAGUUCAGGCUGGUCUUGAACUUGCUAUGUAGCCCACCCUGGCUUCAAACUCGUGAUCCUCCUGCCUCAGCGUCCUGAGUGCUGAUAACAGGGUGACCCCUCCACACCGUCCCAAGUGACCUGGCUUUCACCUGUUUCUGGGAGCCCUGAGGUUCUUAUGAGGAGCAGCGCCCGCACAGCAGAGCGGAAGCCUGACAGCCAGCAGCACAGCAGAUGAGGUGAGAAGACAGCGUGCUGUCAACUCAGAAUCUAUAAGGCUGCAGGACACAGGGUUGUGGUCGGCGACCGGCCAGCCGGGCUGCAGCAUCUGGGCCAGGUAGUCGCCGGCAGCCCAGCCCCCACCACGUCAUGAGCCGAGGUGAACAGAUGGGGCCUGGAUCAGUGAGAUGCAGGUCCAUGCUCACCUGGGAAGGGCAGAGAGAGGAACCUGGGACCAGACCCCAACACAAAUCCACAGCCGCAGGGACCUGAAGUGGGAGAGUCUCGCAGACAGGAAGCGGGGCCGUCACUCACUGCAAAGUGAUGACAAGGACCCGGAGGACCUGCAGAGGCCACAGGAAGCGCUCUUGGACUGGGGUGCUCUCCUGUGGUGACGAGGCUCCGUGGCACCCCGACAGCAGGCCCACCUUCACCACUGGCCUCUUGAGCUUCCACUUCGUGUGCUGCAAGCACACAGGGCUCAGACAUGCUGGCCCUCCGCAUGUGUGCAUGAGAUUCUGAUGCCUGCCGGGCGGCUGCGGGCCGGCCUAAAACCCAGCUCACCUGAUUGCUGACUUUUCUGCAGCACGUGGCUCCCAUCCGUGUCAGCAGGCACUGCAAAAGUUACAUCCGAAGUCCUAUGCAAUAUCUCAACACUGGUUUGGCUCACCUUGAAAACCCUAAGUUAAACCAAGUUUGUCCUCACAUUAAAAUGCACGUGAUACAAAUGCUUCCUUUCUGGUCAUUCAACUCUGCAAUAGCAUUAAGGGUCCAACCAAAAGUAAAGAGUGAACUGAAGAUAAUUUGCAAGCACAAGAUAGCGUGCUCCCCGUUUCUUGGUGAGAUUGGCCCACUGUGUGUAACCUACUUCCUUCCUAGGAGCCCAGCAUCUACACAGACACACC
rnacentral:lncRNA from 1 species